GACGGAGGGUGCUAGCGUUGUUCGGAAUUACUGGGCGUAAAGCGCACGUAGGUGGCGACGUAAGUCGGGUGUGAAAGCCCCGGGCUCAACCUGGGAAUUGCAUUCGAGACUGCAUUGCUGGAGUACGGAAGAGGAAGGCGGAAUUCCCGGUGUAGCGGUGAAAUGCGUAGAUAUCGGGAGGAACAUCAGUGGCGAAGGCGGCCUUCUGGUCCAGUACUGACACUCAAGUGCGAAAGCGUGGGGAGCAAACAGG
rnacentral:rRNA from 1 species